CAAACAUAUAAGGACAUGUAUCCACCAUUAUAAUGUCAUAGAAGCUUGAUAGCUCAUUUCUUUUUACUGGUAAAUAAUAUUCCGUUGUCUGGAUGGACCCCAGUUGAUUCCUCUUUUCACCUACUGAUGGACAUCUUGGUUCCUCCCAAGUUUGGGCCAUUGUGAAUACAGCUGCGAUAAACGUUGGUGUGCUGGUUUUUGUGUGGACCUGAGUUUUCAGCUCCUGGGGAGCUGCUGCAACUCCACGUGCUUUCCCCAACAUACUUCGCCACCUUGUCUCCCUCGUCUUUCCCUUCUGAAGGAAGGAGCUCCUGAAACUGACUGUUUUGUCAAGAUGGGCUGCCCCACUAGAAUGCUGGUAACCCUUCCAUUAUAGUAAGCAAAUAACAUUUCCAUUGAAGUCUUUGUGCCUAAAGCUUUACCUACAUCUCAGAUUUAUCCAUAAAGGGAAUUUCCAGAAGUAAGCUUGCUUGGUCCAAAGUUAUGAAUGUAGUUAAAACUUUGAAUAGUUGCUGUUAUUCGUUCCAUUGCGUCCCCAUACGCUGAUAUG